CGGCCCUAUCUUCUGCCUCAAUCACAACUUAAUCAUUAUCGACUGCGAUUGUUGCGACGGGCCGGGAAUGUCUGCCUCCUUCUUCUUGACGCGUUGACGACAUCUUCAUCCUUCUCCAUUCUCUCUUUCCGUUUUCCUCUCCGAACAAUUUGUAACCCGUUGCGACGACGAGACCUAUGUUACUGUGGCGAUGAGGGGUAGAAGGAGAAGGAUUCUGAGCGUACGCGCUGCUGUUGGCCUCCGGAUAUCAACUGAUAUUUUGUGUUGUUGGG
ensembl:ncRNA K02B9.8 ncRNA